AACGCUGGCGGCGUGCCUAAUACAUGCAAGUCGAGCGAACCGACGAGGAGCUUGCUCCUCUGACGUUAGCGGCGGACGGGUGAGUAACACGUGGAUAACCUACCUAUAAGACUGGGAUAACUUCGGGAAACCGGAGCUAAUACCGGAUGAUAUAUUGAACCGCAUGGUUCAAUAGUGAAAGACGGUUUUGCUGUCACUUAUAGAUGGAUCCGCGCCGCAUUAGCUAGUUGGUAAGGUAACGGCUUACCAAGGCAACGAUGCGUAGCCGACCUGAGAGGGUGAUCGGCCACACUGGAACUGAGACACGGUCCAGACUCCUACGGGAGGCAGCAGUAGGGAAUCUUCCGCAAUGGGCGAAAGCCUGACGGAGCAACGCCGCGUGAGUGAUGAAGGUCUCCGGAUCGUAAAACUCUGUUAUUAGGGAAGAACAAAUGUGUAAGUAACUAUGCACGUCUUGACGGUACCUAAUCAGAAAGCCACGGCUAACUACGUG
rnacentral:rRNA from 1 species